ACUAUUUCCUUCCUCAUAAGAGAAAUUCUAAUUUCUGCACAUGAUCCUGUUUACAAUAUAGGAAUAAAGGACUAUAACAUCUAGGGAUGUUACACUGGCACAGGAUAUGCAGUCCCAAGCACUGUCUACAGUUGUGGAGAAGAACUUUCAGCUGAAUCUUGAAUUUAGUGGCCAGCAACUAAGACGUGAACUGAGGUAAAAGUAAUUUCAGUUAUUUCUGUGUUAUUUUGCAAUCUCAUCUUUAGAGUUUGCAACUCUUCAUAAACAGUGUUAGAAGUCCCUCAGGAGUCACUUAUGCUUCUUAGAGGAAAAAGAUUUCUUUGACUUUAAU
rnacentral:lncRNA from 1 species